rnacentral:rRNA from 1 species
AAAAGGGGAAUUGUUUUGAAACCUGACUUCGAGAAAGCUUACGAUAAGGUUAACUGGGACUUUUUGCUUGAAUGCCACAAAAUGAGGGGUUUCAAUCCUAAAUGGUGUGAGUGGGUGGAGAGCAUCCUCCACAACGGUACAGUUAGUGUCAAAAUUAACAAUACCACGGGACCUUACUUUCAGAGCCACAAAGGAGUGCGACAAGGGGACCCAAUGUCUCCCUUUCUCUUCAACCUUGCGGCUGAAAGCUUAACCAAGAUGAUUUUGAACGCCCAGAAUAACAAUUUAUUUAGGGGGCUGGCAUCUGAUUUGGUUCCCAAUGGGGUGGCAGUGCUGCAAUACGCAGACGAUACGGUUAUCUGUAUUGAA